rnacentral:rRNA from 1 species
UACCGGCAGCUCGAGUGAUGAUCACUAUUAUUGGGCCUAAAGCGUCCGUAGCCGGUCAAACAAGUCCUUCGGUAAAUCCACCCGCUUAACGGGUGGGCUCUCGAGGGAAACUGCUUGACUUGGGACCGGGAGAUCUGAGGGGUACGUCUGGGGUAGGAGUGAAAUCCUGUAAUCCUAGACGGACCAUCGGUGGCGAAAGCGCCUCAGAAGAACGGAUCCGACGGUCAGGGACGAAAGCUAGGGUCUCGAA